AACGAACGCUGGCGGCAUGCCUAACACAUGCAAGUCGAACGAGACCUUCGGGUCUAGUGGCGCACGGGUGCGUAACGCGUGGGAACCUGCCCUUAGGUUCGGAAUAACUCCCCGAAAGGGGUGCUAAUACCGGAUAAUGUCUUCGGACCAAAGAUUUAUCGCCUUUGGAUGGGCCCGCGUUGGAUUAGCUAGUUGGUAGGGUAAAAGCCUACCAAGGCGACGAUCCAUAGCUGGUCUGAGAGGAUGAUCAGCCACACUGGGACUGGGACACGGCGCAGACUCCUGAGGAGGGACGCAGGGGGGAAUAGUGAACAUCGGGAGAAAGCCUAAUCCAGAAGGGCGGGGGAAGUGAAGAAGGCCUUAGGGUUGAAAAGCUCUUUAACCCGGGAUGAUAAGAACAGAACCGGGGAAAAAAGCACCGGAAAACCCAGU
rnacentral:rRNA from 1 species